rnacentral:rRNA from 1 species
UACAGAGGCCACAAGCGUUAGUCGGAAUUACUGGGCUUAAAGAGCGCGUAGGCGGACAAGCAAGUGCCUUGUGAAAUCCCAUGGCUCAACCAUGGAACUGCUGGGUAGACUGCUCGUCUUGAGGCUGGUAGGGGUUGUCGGAACUAUGGGUGGAGCGGUGAAAUGCGUAGAUACCCCUAGGAACGCCAAUGGUGAAGACAGACAACUUGGCCAGAUCUGACGCUGAGGCACGAAAGCGUGGGGAGCAAACGGG